CGCUAGCCGGGAUUGCUUUACACAUGCAAGUCGAACGGCAGCAUGAGAGAGCUUGCUCUCUUGAUGGCGAGUGGCGGACGGGUGAGUAAUGUAUCGGAACGUGCCCGGUAGUGGGGGAUAACUACGCGAAAGCGUAGCUAAUACCGCAUAUUCUCUACGGAGGAAAGAGGGGGAUCGUAAGACCUCUUGCUACCGGAGCGGCCGAUAUCAGAUUAGCUAGUUGGUGGGGUAACGGCCUACCAAGGCGGUGAUCUGUAGCUGGUUUGAGAGGACGACCAGCCACACUGGGACUGAGACACGGCCCAGACUCCUACGGGAGGCAGCAGUGGGGAAUUUUCGACAAUGGGGGGAACCCUGAUCGAGCCAUCUCGCGUGUGGGACGAAGGCCUUCGGGUUGUAAACCACUUUUCUCAACGAAGAAAAGUCUUAGGCUAAUACCUUAAGAUGCUGACGGUAGUUGAGGAAUAAGCACCGGCUAACUACGUGCCAGCAGCCGCGGUAAUACGUAAGGUGCGAGCGUUAAUCGGAAUUACUGGGCGUAAAGGGUGCCCAGGCCGCUUGAAAAGAACGGUGUGAAAUCCCCGGGCUCACCCUCGAACUGCACUAUUAACUGCCAAGCUAGAGUACGUCCGAGGGGGG
rnacentral:rRNA from 1 species